rnacentral:rRNA from 1 species
UACGUAGGGUGCGAGCGUUAAUCGGAAUUACUGGGCGUAAAGCGUGCGCAGGCUGUUCUGUAAGUCAGAUGUGAAAUCCCCGAGCUCAACUUGGGAACUGCGUUUGAAACUACAGGACUAGAAUAUGUCAGAGGGGGGUAGAAUUCCACGUGUAGCAGUGAAAUGCGUAGAGAUGUGGAGGAAUACCAAUGGCGAAGGCAGCCCCCUGGGAUAAUAUUGACGCUCAUGCACGAAAGCGUGGGGACAACAGGAUACGAAACC